rnacentral:rRNA from 1 species
CGGAGGGUGCGAGCGUUGUCCGGAAUCACUGGGCGUAAAGGGCGCGUAGGCGGCGCGGGUAGUCAACGGUGAAAGCUUGGGGCUCAACCCCGAGUCGGCCGUCGAUACUCCCGUGCUUGAGCACUGUAGAGGCAGGUGGAAUUCCGGGUGUAGCGGUGGAAUGCGUAGAGAUCCGGAAGAACACCGGAGGCGAAGGCGGCCUGCUGGGCAGUAGCUGACGCUGAGGCGCGACAGCGUGGGGAGCAAACAGGAUUAGAUACCCUGGUAGUCCACGCCGUAAACGAUGGGCACUAGGUGCUUGGGGGAGCGACCCCCUGAGUGCCGGCGCUAACGCAUUAAGUGCCCCGCCUGGGGAGUACGGCCGCAAGGCUG